CCAACAAUGGACAACCUUUAAAGACCAUUUGCUACUGUGCCUCUUUUACAUAAUGUACUUCAUCAUGGAUAUUAAUGUAUGUUAAGCCAGUUGAAAAUUUUUGCUAAUCCAAGAUAUUGGGAACAUGAUUACAUUUCAUAAGCGACUAACAAAGUGCCAGCAGUCGCGGUCACACUUUAGCYUAAAGUAAAAAUAUAAAGAAUGUUAUAAAUAUAUAUAAAAAAUUUUUUAUAGUGAAAUAUAAAAGUUUAUCAAUACCUUUAUUAUUUUAAAUAAACAUUAUAAAAACUGACCUCAAACAGGGAUUAGAUACCCCUUUAUGCAGUGAGCAAUUUAUCAUUCUAGGUAGUAAAAUUUCCAGAAUUCAAACCCAAAUAGCAUGGCGGUAGUUGAAAUAUUUAGGGGAACUUACUGAUUAAAUGAUAACCACCAAGAUCACGUACGGCACUUAAUAUUUUACAUACCGUCGUCGUCAGGUAUACUAUAAUAGAAUACCACAAUAUAUUAUAUUAUUAAUWWAAAAAUAAAAGGACAGAUCAAGGUGUAGGCUAUGGUACCGCUUUAGCGAGUUACUAUAAUAACUUUAUUCAGAAGGCAACUUUAAAGUUGCCUUAUCUGCAGGACUUAAAAGUAAUAUUUAUUAUGUAUAUUAUAUGAAUUCCCAUUUAACUGUGC
rnacentral:rRNA from 1 species